UUUAACGGUUGCGUAGGCGUUCUCCGUCAGUAGCCUUGAAGUUCAAGGCCAAUAGAUUAGAAUCACUAUGGAAGGAUCUGCCAAGUCACUCGUUAUACUAGUUUGGUCGGCCAGUAAACGCGCUAGGUUUGAAAAGCUCUUUCAGUUCUGAUGAGCCAAAAAAAGGAUUUUACACUCAAGAAGGAAAUUCGUAGAAUGCUUUAGAAUGCAGCUAAAGAAGAAAACGUUUGAGUUUGAAACGUGCCAUGAAGUGGGUGUACAGCUCUGAUAACUGAACGAACUUGUUGAUUCCGUUAUCACCGGAAUAUAUGGGUCGUAAAAACUUCUGUCUUAUAUCAAAUGUUUCACAGCGUAAACUGCAGUUUUUUAAAACAUGACAGCGCAACUUUCCGGCGCCUCCAUAACUGUAUUGGCAUACGAAUUGCUUCCUAACUGAGUUCACGGUAUGUGAGAUGUAAACUUGUUCAGUGAAAGUAUUUUGUAUUAGCUUGAGGAGGAUAUUACUGAUGUAAUUUAGAAGCAUCGCAGCCAAACUAAAUGGUCAAGUCCAACCUAACGAAAAGUUUCGAGACUACUUGGCGUGUUUUGCGUCCUUGUUUGGCGCCAUGUAAAGUUUCGCAAUCUUGAGAAGAACAAGGUUGUACUUUUGUGUUGAUAUAACUGUCACAUAAAAACUAUAGAACAUAAAACGUUUUUGGGCCGUAAACUUUUUUUGUUGUCUUAAGAUGAAGUAGCGCAAGUUUUUUCUCCGAGAAGAAAGAACAUGGAACGUUUUUGACCGUCAACUUUGAUUCAGUUGUCGUUUUGAGAUGAAUUAAGAGGCAUAAGAUUUCCUCACAAAUUAAGUCAUACAACGUUUUUUGGUUGUAUCCUUUUAUUGUCGUUUUAAAAUGAAGUAGCGUAAGCUUUUCUCCGAAUUUAAAGAAUCAGGCCUUGCGAACUUACGUUUGAACACGUCAGUUCGUUUUCCAGAAUCGAAUGAGACGUGACUGGCUCCAUCCUCCUUCGGCAACUUUUAGCGCAAUAUAGUAAGACCUAAGUAGUUCUAAUUAUUUAAGCCUUUAUAUGAAUCUUUGAGUUGAUGGAUACGGUGCGACACUUUUGACAUAAUCAAAUACUGACAUAAAGUGCGCUUAAUGAUUUUAUGUGCAAACAAUUUUUCAUUGAAGAGGCGUUUGACACGUUCACGUCGAAACCGCACCUAACAAACAUGGCGGAACACGUAUUGUGUUUGCUUUGUGUCGCACGGGGGAUAAUGCGUUUUGUUUAGACGCUAUCCUGGAAGGAAGGAAUUCAUUUUUACAGUGAUCGUUGAAAGGUUUAGUUGACCAUGGAUGCACAACUGUGAGAGAUUGCCAAAAAUACCAUUGUGUUUUGUUAGUCUAUAAACUUGGAAUGCUACACUUGUUUUUUUUCUUAAAGUAUUGUUGUUUAUGUGUCGUGAGACAAGAAAAAUCAACUUAGUAAUAUAUUUUCUUGAUCAUCUGCGACUUUUUCUCUCUCGGCCAGAUUCGAACUUUUGCACAGUGAAAGAAGGAAAGGAGAACAACAUAACAAAGUUCCAUUAAAACUCGACAAGUUGCAAUUUUUUUGUCUACGGUUAUCAAAUGAAUAGCCUACAGUACAACGCCACAUGGUUCAAUGAAAAGGCUAAACUGAUAAUUGACGCGCGAUGGUGGGUGCUACAGAGUAAACAUUUUCCGCUUGUUUAAUUGGCAUCCUUCUGGCAAGUUCUCCAGCAAAAAUAACAUUUCAUCAAAGUACGAAAUCCUGUGUUUACUCAUUUAGUUAAUAUGAUUUUUCCGCUAAGAAAACAACUGUUGGUGCCGGGAUCUGAGAGGUUCGAUCUUAAAUAUGAAAUGUGACUCGAGGACCAUCAUCAGCUCAUUGAGUAUUUGGCAUAUUUUCUUAUCCAUUACAGUUGUCGAGCUUCGUUCACUGAUGACUGCUACUUAAAGAACUCUAACAAAUCCUCCAUUUUCGUAAUUGCAUGCUGUUAAAGAUCUGUUUCAUUCACUGAUUUCGUGUGACAUUUGUUGACCUUUUAAAUACAGUUCGUGCCUGUAUGCUCACGUGAAUUAAAAAAAAAAUGUUAUAG